rnacentral:rRNA from 1 species
AUUGAACGCUGGCGGCAUGCCUUACACAUGCAAGUCGAACGGCAGCACGGGUGCUUGCACCUGGUGGCGAGUGGCGAACGGGUGAGUAAUACAUCGGAACAUGUCCUGUAGUGGGGGAUAGCCCGGCGAAAGCCGGAUUAAUACCGCAUACGAUCUACGGAUGAAAGCGGGGGACCUUCGGGCCUCGCGCUAUAGGGUUGGCCGAUGGCUGAUUAGCUAGUUGGUGGGGUAAAGGCCUACCAAGGCGACGAUCAGUAGCUGGUCUGAGAGGACGACCAGCCACACUGGGACUGAGACACGGCCCAGACUCCUACGGGAGGCAGCAGUGGGGAAUUUUGGACAAUGGGCGAAAGCCUGAUCCAGCAGUGCCGCGUGUGUGAAGAAGGCCUUCGGGUUGUAAAGCACUUUUGUCCGGAAAGAAAUCCUUGGCCCUAAUACGGUCGGGGGAUGACGGUACCGGAAGAAUAAGCACCGGCUAACUACGUG